CGGUUUAUCAGGGUUUCAGGUUACCAGGGUGGAAUCAAAAGAUGUGGCUGAGCGUAGAUUGUAACCCCUUCCUUCGUCCAAACCAUCCUGCUUCUGCGGGUUCUGGGUUCAAGUUUGAACUUCCUCGAAACGGGUACAACCGCGUAGUGACUUGACAACUCUAAGCCAACUUAUUUCCCAUAAGUUGGUUGUACCACUCAAUACUGUCAUCAGGACCCAAUAAGAAGACUCCGACUCCGUACUAUGUUAAAUCUGUGUGUUUGUGAGACCAGCACUACAGUGGAUGAUGGCCUUGAGUUUCUGCACCUCCUGCCUCUGCCUCCCAAGUGCUGGAUUAUAGACUACCACCACCAUGCCCAGGUUCCACGGUGCUGGGGAUAGAACCCAGGGCUUUGUAAAUGCUUACCAAGCAUUUUACCAAUAGAGCUAUAUUGUCAGUC